GGUAGAUUCACUUGAAAGUGACAGUUCUCGGACAGCUGCCAAUGAGGAUUCUCUGGAAAGUGAUAAAGAAAAUCAUUCCGAAAUAGCUGCCAGUGAGGACUCACUUGAACACGAUCCAGAAAAUGAGCCGGAUUACACACCUGUCUAUGAAGGUGCCAUUGAUAAUCGUGGAAGGUCAAGGAAGAGGGCCAACCCAGACACUUGGAAGGGUAACAUCCAGAAAAGGAAAAGAAUGAGGGGCUAAUCUUAUCUUGGAUGGAAAAAAAAAUGAAUUUGUCAUCAAAGAAGAAAGAAAAAUUGGCGGCCGGUGCCGAUCUGUGUCCUGCAAGAAAUCAAGCAAACUACACUGCUCCGAAAUUGAUGAAGGGAAGAGGGAGGAAAUUUUCAAGUAUUUUUGGGGGAAAUUGGAAUGGAAAGAGAGGAGAAUGUAUGUGAAAACAUCGGUGGAGGUGAGUGAUGUCAAGCGGCGCCGGACAGAAGCGGUUCAAUCUCGGAGGUCAGCAUCUCUCUUUUGUUGUUUAUGUGUAGAUGGUAAAAGGCUCAGAGUUUGUCAAAGGAUGUUCCUGUCUACACUUGGCAUCAAGCAGUGGACUUUUUUAAAGUGGGUUGGGCGAAGAGGGGAAAGUCCUGAGAAGAUGGCGAGAUUGAGUGUAAGGACAGAGGAGCAGGA